CAAUAGCGUAUAUUUAAGUUGUUGCAGUUAAAAAGCUCGUAGUUGGAUUUUGGGUCGGGGGCACCGGUCCGCCGUUCCGGUGUGCACUGGUGGCCCCUUCCUUUCUGCCGGGGACGUGCGUCGCACUUAAUUGGGUGGCGUUCGGAGUCGGCGUUGUUACUUUGAAAAAAUUAGAGUGUUCAAAGCAAGCCAUCGCUCUGAAUACAUUAGCAUGGAAUAACGUGAUAGGACUCCGGUCUUAUUUUGUUGGUUUCCGAGACUGGAGUAAUGAUUAAGAGGGACAGUCGGGGGCAUCCGUAUUUCAUUGUCAGAGGUGAAAUUCUUGGAUUUAUGAAAGACGAACUUCUGCGAAAGCAUUUGCCAAGGAUGUUUUCAUUAA
rnacentral:rRNA from 1 species